rnacentral:rRNA from 1 species
GUCUAUGGCCAAGCCACCCUGAACACGUCUGAUCUCGCCUGAUCUUGGAAGCUAAGCAGGGUUGGGCCUGGUUAGUACUUGCAUGGGAGACAGUCUGGGAAUACAGGUGCUGUAAGCU